rnacentral:rRNA from 1 species
UACGAAGGGGGCUAGCGUUGCUCGGAAUCACUGGGCGUAAAGCGCACGUAGGCGGCUUGCUAAGUCAGGGGUGAAAUCCUGGAGCUCAACUCCAGAACUGCCUUUGAUACUGGUGAUCUUGAGUCCGAGAGAGGUGAGUGGAACUGCGAGUGUAGAGGUGAAAUUCGUAGAUAUUCGCAAGAACACCAGUGGCGAAGGCGGCUCACUGGCUCGGUACUGACGCUGAGACGCGAAAGCGUGGGGAGCGAACAGG